rnacentral:rRNA from 1 species
CUUGAAACACGGACCAAGGAGUUUAUCGUGUACGCAAGUCAUUGGGUGAAUAAAACCCAAAGGCGAAAUGAAAGUAAAGAGUUGAGUUUAUAAAAAAUAAAUUUAUUUUUUUUUUAUUUCUCUCUUAAGGGAAGAUGAAAAUUUAAUUAUAUGAUUGUUUACAAUUGUUUAUUUAAAUUUUUCGCAUUCCCAGGGCGCUUGUUUCACGCUUUGCGUGUCAAUGCGCACCUAGAGCGUACACGCUGAUACCCGAAAGAUGGUGAACUAUGCCUGGCCAGGACGAAGCCAGGGGAAACCCUGGUGGAGGUCCGCAGCGAUUCUGACGUGCAAAUCGAUCGUCGGAGCUGGGUAUAGGGGCGAAAGACCAAUCGAACCAUCUAGUAGCUGGUUCCCUCUGAAGUUUCCCUCAGGAUA